UUGAAGAAAUACUUAGAUUAAAACAAUUAUCAGAAGAAAUUUAUAAUAAAAUAUAUUUUACUCUACAAUAUAUAUAUAUAUAUCAAUUUACAAUGAACGUAUGAUGAAUUCUGCAGUGGAGUUUUUUAUGUUCCUGAAUUAAAGAGCAAUUUUCUUAGUAUGAGUCAGCUGCACGAAAGAACUACAAAAUUGUUAUCUAAAAGGGUUAUUGCACAAUACAACAUCCACAGAAGGGAAGAAUUCUUGAAGUUAAAUGACAUCCAAUCGAUUGUUACCUUUACACAGUAAUGACCAAGCAUGCUUGACAACAAAAAUGGUGGACUCAAUUUGGUUAUGGCAUAUGCGAUAUGGACACCUCAAUCUUAACUGGCAGAGAACCUUGCAGCAACGGAAUAUUGUUGGUGGUCUUCCCCAAAUCGAUGUUACUAUCAAAGUUUGUCAAAGCUGUGUUGCUUGUAAACAACAUCGUGGAUCAUUUCCGAUACGGAAAGCAUGGAGGACUAAGGAAUUGUUGCAAUUGAUUCACUCAGACCUCUAUUUUCCAAUCAAUACAGCCUCAAACACCAAUAAAAGGUAUUUUAUAUCUUUUACUGAUGACUAUAGCAGGAAGAGGUGUGUUAAGUUUUUGCAACAACAAAAAUGAGGCUUUUAGCCCAUUCAAGCAAUUCAAGGUCUUUGCUGAAAAUGAAUCUUGGAAGACAAUCGAAAUUCUUGGCACUGAUUGUGGUGGUGAGUUCAAUUCCAAUGAGUUCACAGGAUUUUGCGCUAUGAAUGUAAUUUGGAGGGAAUUGACAUCAGUUAUACACCACAACGAAAUGAUGUGUGUGAGAGGAAGAAUCGUACAAUUUUUAACAUGGUAAGGAAGCAUUUUGGCCACUUGAAGCAUCCCAAAAAGCUUUUGGGCAGAGGCAAUUAACUGGAGUGUUAAAGUAUUGUAUAGGUGUACUAUUUUUCAGUGAAAAAUAGAUACCAGAAGCUUGGUACUCUCAAAAACCAAAUGUUGAUCUUUUUAGGAAUUUUGGGUGUAUAGUAUAUUCCCAUAUUCUUGAUGAGCGAAGGAAAACUUGAUGACAAGGGAAUCCUAUGUAUUUUCCUUGGAGUGAGCGAAGAGUCAAAGGCUUACUAAUUGUAUAAUCCACACACAAAGAAGACAAUUGUAAGUCGUGAUGUUAUUUUUAUGAAGCUGAAUUAUGGGAUUGGAAUAGUACAAAAAAACAAUCAACCUCAAUCCAUAUUGAGGAUGAGGAAGUAGAAACAAUUAUUGAAGAGACAAAUCAGGAAGAUGGAUCAAAAGUGCAGCAACAUUUAUCUGAUGAUGUGAGAAACGACCAAAAUGCAAGGACCUCAAGUGAAGAACAUCCAUCAAGAAUGACAACUGAACGAAAUAAACAUCAAAUAAGGAGGCCACAUUGGAUAAUUGAUUUGUAAGUGGAGAUGAGCUUUCUGAUGAUGAUAAUACUGCCAAUCUUAUUUUAUUUGCAGAUUGUGAUCCCAUUGCAUAUGAAGAUGCAUAAAAAGACUUAAAAUGGCAGAAAGCUAUGGAUAUAGAAAUUGAAUCAAUCAAAAGGAAUGAUACUUGGGAGCUGACUGAUCUUCCACAAGGCUAGAAUACCAUUGGCCUAAAGUGGGUUUACAAAACCAAACUAAAUGAAAAGGGUGAAGUUGACAAGUACAAAGCAUGACUGGCAGCGAAGGGAUACACUCAGAAGUUUGGCAUUGAUUAUGGUGAAGUGUUUGCUCCGUUCGCUAGGCUCGAUAUUGUUCGACUGAUAAUAGCUAUGGCUGCACAAAAUUCUUGGCCAAUUUAUCAAUUGGAUGUAAAGCCGACAUUCUUCAUGGUAAUUUACAUGAACGUGUAUAUAUUGGUCAACCUCCUGGAUAUGUAAAGCAAGGCAGUGAAGCAAAGGGGAUGUAUCAUGGUCAUCAAAGAAGGAACAAAUUGUUACUCUGUCAACAACUGAAUCAGAGUACAUUGCUUCAGCAUCAGGGGCGUGUCAAGUUAUUUGGUUGAAGCGAAUACCUGAAAUGUUACAUCAGCUUCACCAAGAACCAACAAUGAGUUACUGUGACAAUAGUUCUACAAUCAAGCUCUGCAAGAAUCCAAUAUUACAUGGGAGAAGUAAACAUAUCGAUGUGCGAUAUCAUUUUCUUUGAGAUCUUGUAAAUAAAAAAGUCAUAGAUUUGGUAUUUUGCAGAAGUGAAUAUCAGGUUGCACAUUUAUUAACUAAGCCUCUUAAGUUGUGUCCAUUUGUGAAGCUGCACGAAUUACUUGGUGUUUAGUUAGAGAAUGAUUGUAAAAUCAUGCUAUGAAUAACAUCUGGUUUAAGAGAGGCUGUUGAGUGUUUUAAUUUAGCAAAAUAAAAGAAUUGGUUUUUAGUGGACCUUUUCUUCAGGAAGAUAUUAUUGUUACUGAUUUUAAGAGUUCAUUAGUUGUAGAUCUGUUUAGUUGCUUAUUUUUAGGAAUAAGUUUUAUAUAUAAUGUUUAUUUA